CAGAUGAGAUAACAUAUGUGAACCUUCUACUGAACCCUGAACGUUACACUGGCUAUGCUGGUCCAUCAGCAAGAAGGAUAUGGGAUGCUGUUUAUUCUGAAAAUUGCCCAAAAUAUAGAAAACGGACACAUAUCUGGAGGAAGAUCCCUGCAAAGCUUUUCUUGAAGUAGAGGAAGAAAAGUACCUUGUAUUAUCUUGUAAACUCUUGUAUAAGAGCUUCAUUUCUUUUGUAACAUUCAUGAGAAAAAUCAAAAUGUAACAUUCCCUUUUCAAUA